UACGUAGGGUGCAAGCGCUAAUCGGAAUUACUGGGCGUAAAGCGUGCGCAGGCGGUUUUGUAAGACUGUCGUGAAAUCCCCGGGCUUAACCUGGGAAUGGCGAUGGUGACUGCAAGGCUAGAGUUUGGCAGAGGGGGGUAGAAUUCCACGUGUAGCAGUGAAAUGCGUAGAUAUGUGGAGGAACACCGAUGGCGAAGGCAGCCCCCCGGGUCAAAACUGACGCUCAUGCACGAAAGCGUGGGGAGCAAACAGG
rnacentral:rRNA from 1 species